GGCACAUUGAAUAUGUGUGUACCUUACUCUAUGCAUCUGAGACUUCACUUCCUCUAUGUUUCACAGGCCUCAUUCUGUCCGCACCCCCUUCAUUGACGUCCUAUCCCCAGUUCCUCAGACGAUAACCAUGUUUGGAGAUGUCUUUUAAAGAGGUGAUGAAGAUAAAACGAGGAUGUUGAGAUCGAUCCUGAUCCAACCUGACUGCAGGUGUCCUUGUAAGCAGAGGGAAUUUGGACACACAGAGGGGACACUGGGGACAGAAGAAAGACCAUCAAGGACACUCCUCGGCAAGACAAGGAGAGAGGCCCCAGAGUCAAAUCAACUGUGCUGACUCCUCGAUUCUGGACAUCCACCUUCAGAACCGUGAGUUGAUGGUUUUUGUGUUCAAGUCACCAAGGCCGCAGUAAUUUGUCACGCAGCCACAGAAACACUACAGAAGAGAAAGUGGGUUUUGUUUUCUUUAACCAGGGAUUGAGCCCAGAGAUUCCUAACCACUGAGCCACAUCCCCAGUCCUUUUUAUUUAUUUAUUUAUUUAUUUUUAUUUUGAGACCAGGUCUUGCUGGAAAAGGAAGGUUUUAAAGACCUCGCUCUGGUUUUCCAUUCCUGUCUAACAAGCUACCCUAAAGCUUAGGAAGGGACGAUGAUGGUUUUAUUUUGCAAAUGACCUUGUGUUUAAUAAAGAGUCCAAACCAGCGCUUGGUAUUUUCCGUGUUGCUUCGGCUGGAGCUGGGGACCCACCCUUGCUCCCACUCUGCUCCCUGGCAUGGCUGCCCGCUCUGCCGGGUGGACUGGGCAGCUCAGCCUGGCCUGAUGACUGGGGCCUUUGAUUUACUUCUGGGGAGUCUCAUGGGCUCCCUGGGUCUCUUCCCAGGGUGGUGGCUGGAUCCCUAGAGUGGGUGUUCCAGGGGGAAGCAGAGCAGAGCUUCCGUCUCCUGCGGCCUGGGUGUGGAAGGUGGGAGCCCGGUGCUUGGGCUCUGUUCUAGUGUCCAGCAAAGCUACUAGGACCAGUUCAGAUCCAGGAGAGGGGUGCAGAACCCACCAGGAAAUGAGAGGAACGGUGAAGAAUUCACUGGCAGCUUUAAUCUAUUACGAACGUGAUCGCACAAAGACGUGAUUCCCACAUGUAGGAGGUGAUCACAGAAUCCCAGGUUUGGAAGAUGAAAUAAACUCACUGAGAAGAACUGAGAAGUGGACUCUUGAGCACAGAGAGGGGAACCAGUGGAGUCCACCUAAUAUGCACCAUUGCAUCCUCAAAUACUCCGGAGUGGAGACCUCACGUCCCUCUGGAACUGGAGGCAGAGGUGCAGGGAAAACAGAGAUGGGGUGUGAACUGCAAUAGGGAAGGACCCCUGCUCCUGGGACCCCCUCCCAGCCCAGGCUGCAGGACGUCUACCUUAACAGCAAAGGGGGUGCUGACCGACUGGAGAAGGCAGUCCCUAGCAUUUGCAGUGGGACCCACGUUAGGGGGCAGGGGUCCUCUGCGGGAGACCUGGUUUAGCUGAUCUCACCGCCAUCAAAUGCUAGGACCCUCCGACCCUGUGCCAUCUUUUCCCAUGGCCUCCAUUUUGCUGGAGCAAUGGCAGAAGAGGCCACCCUAGCAGGGAGGGCAGGACUCCCUAGAGCCCCAGGCUGCAGCCCCAUCUGGCAGAACUACCAGUGUGGGCCACGCUGGGUGGAGCCACUGGGAGGUGGGAACCGUGUCCCUCCCCAUGGGGCCUGGGGGUGGGACUGCUCUGUCCCAGUGGGCCCAGAUGGCAGAGCACAAGCCAAAGAACACCUCUGAACACUUGACCACCCCAUAAAGCUGGCCUUUGCUGUUUGGAGCUUGCCAGGGGCCCUGCACCUCUUCCUUCAUUUCUAUUUCUCCAUUGUAGAGUGGAGUUGUGGGUCUUCUGUCUGUCCUGUCUGUCCUGCCAUUGUACUUUUUUUUGUUUGUUUGUUUGUUUUGUUACUGGGGAUUGAGCUCAGGGGCACUGGACCACUGAGCCCCAUCCCCAGCCCUAUGUUGUAUUUUUUUAGAGACAGUGUCUCACUGAGUUGGUUAGCACCUCCUAAGUUGCUGAGGCUGGCUUUGAACUGGUGAUCCUCCUGUCUCAGCCUCCUGAGCCUCUGGGAUUACAGGUGUGCACCACUGCACUUGGCUCUGCUGUUGUACUUUUGCUUAUGUGUGUGGUGCUGGGCAUUGAACCCAGGGCCUCAUGCGUGCAAGACAAGUAUCCUACCACGGAGCUACACUCACACUCCCUGUCCCCUUUUUGAGGUGUGUCUCGCUGUGUUGCCCAGGGUGGUCUCAAACACUGUUUUUCCCCUGGGAGCUGAGACCAUAAGCCUGUACCCCACCCUGUCACACUGUUGUAUUUUGGAAGCACUUAGGUGGUUUGGUUUCACAGGUUGGAAGGUGGGGAGGAAUCUGCUCAGGAUGAGUUAUUCUCUGAGUCUCACCCGUAGCUGAUUUAGACAACAUGCUUGGAAUUGGAGUUUAAAAUUGAAGCUGGAAUGAUUUAAGAAAUUUGGGGUGGUUGGGACGGAACAAACAUACUUUACAUGCAGAAAGGACAUGGGGGGGCUGGGUUGGGUUGUAAUGGACUGAAUAUUGUGUCGCUCAAAAUUCAUCUCAUGUGUUAACAUCUGGACCCUCGAACGUGAUGGUACAUGGAGACGAGGGCUUGGGAGACGGUUAGAUUAGGUCAUGAGGGUAGGGUCUUUAUGGUGGGAUCAGUGCCCUUCUAGGAAGAGUGGGGGACAUGAGACCUGUCCCUGCCUGCUGGCUGCCAUAAGAAGAUCCUCACACACCAGGAAGAGUGCCCUCACCAGACCUGGCACCUGCAGUGCCCUGAUCCUGAAUGUCUCAGCCUCCAGAGCUGUGAGAAAGUUUGUUAAUUAAGCCACCAGCCUGGGUAAUUUGUCACCAGAGCCCAAAUCAGCCAAGACAACCAGGAAACUCUUUACUACGCUGUUGCUCUCUGGCACUUUAUAAAAACUGUUGUUGCCUAAAUUUUUUUUGAUGAUUUUCUUUAGCAGGAAAUGGCUCUGCCCACCUUAGGUUGACCCUGCAGCCUUGGUUUCCCGACCUGCUCUGUCACCCCCUGGGGAAGGCGAUGCAGGGGCCGCUGGUCUGGGGAGGGGCUGAGCAAUGCGAUGGCGUUAUAACCAGUCCCAUAGAGGACCUUCGGGUGCUCCUGGGCCCUUCAGUCAAAGCCCAGCUGCCUUCUGAAUCCUGCUGGAUGUCACUGUGUGCUGGACACUCUCUGGUCCAAGCUUGACUUGGAAGGAGAGCCUUUCACGGUUAUCUCAGCACCCAAGGGAUGUGAAUUUGAUUCUCUUUUCAUCCCAUCAUCUCAACAGCAAAAGCACUGGAGGAUUUUGUUCUGAGAUCCUGUUCUGCAUCCUUGGCUCUCUCCCGACAAGGCACAAAACUGCGGUGAGCUGGGUCAUGUGACUUAAAAGAGGAAAUUAAAUGAAGUUUAAACCCGGAGCGAGUCUUAUCUGGGGAAUGCUGCAGAUAGCAGAACAAUUAUUCAGAGCAAUGAAGGGACCAAAGGGGCCAUCCUGCAGGUGUUCCCAUAUUGUCCCUGGGCUCCGGGCAGAGAAUGGAGGGAAAACGUGGAAAAGUUUUGAACCUGAAUGUCAGAGGCCCUGUGACAUUAUCACCCCUCAGGGCGAAUGUGUCCCGGGCAUUGUCCUUUUCUGUUGGAACAAGCUCCAGGAUUCUCACUGCUACCCUUGGCUCACAGAGGGUCAGUGACUGCUCGGAGCAGAAGGAGAUUGGGCAGUGCAGAGAGGGCUUCAGGAACAGCCCAGACCUGGAGUGACCGGCACUGGAAACCUCUCCCCUCCUCCUUGGGAGAGACAUCUGACUUUUGUUUUUUGAAGUUUUGAGCUAUCUUGUUUAGUUUCUGACCCUCUGCCUUCUAAACGCUUCCCACUGUGAGUCUGAGGAGGAGACAGUGUCCCUUUUCUCCUUAUGAAGGCCAAAGAGAGUGUGUGAGAAGCUUGCUCCCUGCUCCUGGAGGCCCAGGCAGGACACAGGAGGGUCGAGAAAGUGCACUAUCCUUGCUUGUCCUAGUCAUGUGACAAAGGCUUAGUGUCUUGGCCCCUCUGUUACGUCCUCUCUUCCUAGUGGCCCUCCCUUGCUCCUCACCAAGACAAGAAGCAAAACUGAGCCAAUGGAUGAGUCUGGAAGUGGAAUUUGAGCACGGCUGGCCGGAUUCUUUCAUCUUCUUCUUUGGCAUCUAAAUCCUCGCAAACUCUACCCCUUGGCCUCCUGCCUCUGUGAGCAGGGGAGAGAGGGAGGGCCAUAGUUGCCCACCUGUGUCUGCCCCUGGGUUGGGCGGGUCUGUCCGGUUCAGGGUGAGAUGUUAGCCAUGCCACUUAGCUUCAGACCUAAAGCCAGUUAUUCCAAGAGUCGUAUCAGUAAUAAAGAAAAAUACUUCAGUCUCCAGCUGCCUGAGUUUUUAGUUUUAUUCUUAAUUUGUUCCAAAAUCUGGAGGGGAAAAAAGAUAUUGUUUAUUGGUUUUUGAACAAACCUCGUAUCUUAAUUCACAGAGCUACGAGAUACGGGAUUUGUGCAGUGGACAGAGUGAAGCUGGGAAAGUGGGGGGAGUUGCACAGAUGUGAAGCCUUCUCACCUCUGUCCUGAUCACACGGUCCACGGUGGGGGCUGACCCAGGCAGCUCUCUGCAGGCCUUGUCUAGAGGAAGUAACCGAUGCUCUAUGGCUGUGGCCGACCUUGCCAAAUGUGGACCUUAGGUCUUAACAAAUCUGGCCCUUUGGGUACACGCUGAUAUUGCUGACCGCAGCUGACUUCAAGUAAGGCUGACACAAGGAUUAAAUCAUUUUAGGAUUUAGUAGGUUGGAAAUAUCUGGUGUUUACUGUUUUUCUCAGAAAGGACCCAUUGAACUCUGAACAAGUGAGUUUCCUUCUAGCACAAACACAGAACACUAUAUCACCUAUAAUGAAUUCUGUUCUCCUCUGGGUAUUCUGAAUACUAUUUAAGGUCAAGAGAGUCACCUUGUCACUGUGUAAGGGCUGAUCCCUGUCUCAGAGUUGAUUCCCCAGAGACCCCAAUGUUUGUCAAAUUGUCUCUACUUCUCUGAGACAGACUGUCAUAGACAGUUUUAUGUGGCUCUAACAAAAUGCCUCAGGCUGGAAGAUUUAUCAAGAAAAGAGGUUUGCUUGGCUUAUAGUUUCUCGAUGUCCAAAAGCAUGGAUCCUCUUUGGCUUCUGGUGAGGGUCUCAUGGUGAUGGCAUCCCAGGGUGGGAAGGCAGGCUGGGGAGUGAGCUGACACAUUUGCAGAGGUAACCGUGGCUCCCCACCACUUGCUCUCAACAACUAGCCCGUUCCAGGAGAGCCAGACCAGUCCUGUGACACCUCCCUGAGUCUCCAGAAAGACAUUGAGCCAUGCGUGCACGAUGGGUUGCUCCCAUGACCUAGUUAUCUCUUGAAGGUCCCCCUGCCUCUACACCACUACAAGGGGAAUCAAAUCACAACUAGCAUUUGGGUGGGAACCACCCACAGCCACACCACAGCAUAGAUCCCCUCUAGAAAAUUCUAGAUACUUGUUAGUAAGAAAAACAUAGAGAUUUCCAAUUCCAGGGAAGACCAAGAGCACACGUUCCACCGGCUCCUCCCACUGGACACAAACACAGACCUGGACAGAACGUGCUGAGUGGUUAUCAGGAGGCUCCGAGCAGUGAAGGGAACAGGAGAGGACCACGGAGACAGGCCUCCGAGGCAGCUUCACACUCAGAAGAGCACACUGGUGUGAACAGAAAGAGCACCUGCCCUCUCUGUCCAGUCCCAGGGUCAGAAGGACGGUGCCUGAGGAUUCUCUGCUUUUCUUUCUUUCUGUCUUGACUCUCCACUGCUGCAGCCCAGUGAUCCAUCAGCAAUGGCUGCAGUAAAGGACUGAAGAGGGACCAGGGAGAGAUCUUCUGAGAAGAAAACGCUUCUGCCCCCAGGCAGUUCAGUACAGUCCCGUCCAGUCCCCAGAGGGAGCCCACGUCUCCACUGCUGUUUUCUUUUGUCCCGAUGCUGCUUGGUUCCAGAUAGAGACAUAAUUGCAGGAGGUAGAUGUCCAAGGGAGGCCAUAGAAGCCAUGCUGUUAACCAGAGAGUUGGAAAGGCAAGCGCGAUGGUUUCUAAGAGAUCGCAGAGAUCAGAGGGCUCAAGUGAGCAUCCUCCUAGGGUCCUGAUUGGACUCAAUGAAACCAGGAGCUUAUUGUUGAAAAGAUCAAUAACAUCGAUCCAUCUCGCUGGGCUGACAAAGAGAAAAGCAGAGAAAACGCAAAUUAGCAAUAUCAGCAACAGAAGAGGAGGCACACUUGAGUGGUGCCCUAGAGACCUUAGGAAGGUAACGGGGACUCUACGAACAGUCCACGUGCACCACUUUGAUAGUGUGCAAAAUUACUUUAAAGCCACAAACUAUAGACGCUGUCUCAAAAAGGACUAUGUUACGUGAUUUUUCUUACAUCUAUUAAGGAGAUUGGACACUUAAUAAAAUAACAAGCCUUUCAGAAAGGCAUCCCCUGGUCUUGAAAUACUUUUGGGCAUGGAAAUUCUGCCAGACAUUUAAAGAAAUAUCUCCAGUUUUGUAUAUAAUUACUUCCAAAAGAAGAUGAGGUUCGAGAAAAUCCCAAAUCCAGCAUUACCCUGGUACAAAACCAGACACGAAUGCUCGAGGAAAACCAGAGAUUCAUAUGUUUAUAAACAUAGAAAUAAACAAAAAUUCCAUCAAAUAUGGCACUGCCAUUUGAACAUGGUUUGUCCCCACCAAAACUCACGUUGGGACUCUGUCCCCAGCGGGAGAGUGUUGAGAGGUGGCGGGGCCUCGGAGGUGAGCGGGUCACAGAGCCCUCUGCCCUCCUGAAUGGAUGCAUAUCAUUCUCAAGAGUCUGAGUUAUUUCUUCAGGGAAUGGAUUAGUUCUUAAGAACUUGGCCUCUGUUGCUACAUGCUUUUUCCUCCCUCACUUACUUCCGCAAUCAACUUCUCCACCAUGGUAUGAUGCCACACAAGGCCCUCACCAGGAGCCAAGAAGAUGUUUUCACCUGCUCUUGGACCUCAGGAUGGUGAGCUCAAUAAAACUCUUUUCUUUAUAAAGUAGGCAGACUUGGGAAUUUUGUCAUAGCAGCAUCAAAUGGAGGAAGGCAUCUAGGCAUAUGUAAGAAGAAAAAUAUAUUGCAGUCAAAUGGGUUUUAUCCUGUGAAAGUAAUGUUAGAAAGCCGAUCUGUCUAAUCCACCAUUAUUAACAGUCUAAAUAAACACACUCACACACACACACACACACACACACACCAUCUUAUCCACAGGUGCAGGAAAAACAUUAGAAAUAUUUGAUGUCCAUUAUAAAGAUUUUAAGCAACUAGAGUUUAGAAGGAAACUUCACUUAAAGGGCAUUUAUACAAAACCUUUUAGCUAAGAUUACAUUUAGUGGGAAAAGCCUGAACCCUUUUAUCUUAAGUUUUGUAAACAGUAUGAUGCUGUUCAUCACUAAAUACUAUCGGACAUAAUACUGGGAGGUCAAGCCAGUGUGAUAAAGCAAGAGAGAUGCACUUAAAAUGGAAAGGAAGAGAUAAAAUUGUCCCCAUGAGCAGUUGAUAUGAUUGUCUGGGUAGAAUCUCUUGAGAAAUCUACAAAACAUCAACAAAAGCUCCUACAACUAAUGAGUUUAGCGUCACAGAAGACACAGAACUCAUCACAUUUCUAUAUCCUAGCAAUGAUUGGAACGAAAGCAUAAAGAUCUUCAAAUAGCUCUAAACACUAAGUAAUUAGAUCUGUUGAAAACUACGAGGCUUCUAUCAGUGAAACCAAGAGGAUGUGAAUACAUAGGGACAGAACUUCCCAAGUGACCCAGCAGCCCCACUUCUAGGUACUCAUCCUGGAGAAAUAAAAACAUAUGCUCACACGAAGACCUAUACCUUGGGGUUUAUAGCAAUCAUUAUAAUAAUUGCCAAGAGUAGAAAAAAAUCCCCCCAAAGCUUCCGUGGUUUGUGGAUGAAACAAAUGAUGACAUAUUCCUACAAUGGACAGUUAGGGGCUAGGUUACGGGCAAGGACAGAGGGAAGCCUCCAAGGUACUGGGCUGGUCUCAAAUGCCACAUGAGGUGUGAGCGGGUUCACGCCACAUUCGGGCGGAGGCAAACUAGCUCCACAGAGCGUGGAUCCCCCAGGGUGAUGGUCAUGGUGGAGGAGGGUACCCAGGGCAGUGGUGCAGACUAGGGGUCGUCGGAACUGUCCUGUCCCUCCUGUGAGGCUCUGGAGACACAAAUCUAAUUCAUUGAAAAUGUUUACACCUUUCUUUUAAAAAAUACCAGUUUUCGUGUAGGUUAAUUUAAAAACAUACACGUGGAACCAACCACGAAAGGAAGCAGAGGCAGAGAAGAGAGGCACUUGGAUUCCUUAACCAUGCUCAUCCUAUGGACCUCAGAGGCGGGGACUAAUUGUAAAAGCAUGUUUAAAUGUUGGAGGCUAAGCUGAGCCUUAAAAGUUGAUAGAGAGCAGAUGGGGAAAAAAAUCCUCAUUUUUGCAAGACAAAGAAAUGGUACUUGAAACCUGGAACGCCCUUUUUCCCCCCAUCUUCUUUUCCUUAAGGCUACAAAGAAAGAGAGAUGGCAUUUCCUGGGCCCCCAGUGGUGCAGACAUCAGACAGAUCAAGUUCAGUUUAAAUUAAAGGUUCCAGGGAGAGGGAUUCUGUAGUCAGGAAAAAAAAAUCUGGGAACAGAGUAAGACCUUUAUGCUCUGUUAUUUAUGAGGUAGGUUAUUUAUCCCAGGCAAUUCCAUAUCAAGAGGCACUGACAAUGGCUAAUGUAACCCAGGACGGGGAAAAAACCCUGCUCAUUAGAAACCACUAGACAAAAGCUGUGCUGAUUUCAGUCCCGAGAUGCUCAGAAGCCUCUCGGCUCUUAGAGAACAGAUUGGCAUCAGAUGGUUUCGGAUGUAAAUCCGGAGGAGAAAGCUGUUCUCGUUGCUUUGGGGAUGAGGCUGAGCAUGCCAGCACUUAAGCUAGCCUUCAAGGUGUGUCUGGGGGCUACGCCCUGAGAGCCCCCACCUCCGUGAGGACCACAGUUAGGAAUAUGUGGGGGUGUCGGGGACCUCUGCUCAAGAGGAGGUUUCAGGUGCUUGUGCCACAAAAAUAACACGGUGACUAUGUGAGGUGACAGGCGUGUUGCUUUUCCUGACUGCGGUAACCAUUUCGCUGUGCAUACGUGUGUCAAAACACCGUGUCAUGUACUUAAGUACGCACGAUAAGGAAAAGAAGCCUGGGGUGUAUUAAAAGCCACUGUCAGACUUGGAAGACGAUAAAUAUAAAGAUUCUAUUCCCAGGUGUGUCAAAAUACGGCAUAGCCCAUAAGACCCAGCUGUUCCACUCCUGAUACUUAUUCAAAAGAGCUAAAAUCAGCAUGCAUUUCAGCGUUUACGGCAGCGCAAUCCUGGUGCUCAGGUUAUGAAAUCAGCUGAGAUGUCCAUCAGUAGGUGAGGGGGUAGAGAAAAUGUGGUAUAUACACACACAGUGAAGUUCUACUCAGCACGAAGAAGAAUGGUAUGUCAUUUGCUAGUAAAUGGGAGAAACUGGAGAACUCGCGGUAUGUAAAUAAGCCACUCAGGAAGUCAAGGGUCAAAUGUUUUCUGUCAUGUGCAGAAGCUAUGGGGGGUAAAAAAAAAAAGGAGAUCUUGCCAAAGUAGAGAUUGGUAGAGAAAUGGGGAACCGAGGGGGACGGAAGAGUGGGAGAAGAGAGUGGUACUGGGGAUUAAAAGGGAGGAAAUGGUCAUCUGCAUCUAUGAAUAUGUCCAGAUGAGCCCCACUGUUAUGUGAAAGCAUAAUGCACUAGCAACAAAAAGGAAAAUGCCAAAAAAAAAAAAAGAGUGUGAUAACGAAUUUCUUAAAGGGAGAUCUUUGUCCUGUUGGGGAUUCACAGAGUGUGGGCUCCAGAAAACAGUCGUAGAACGGGGCGGUGGGGGGGGAUCACGGCAGAAUGACCCAGAACAGGGUGUUCGCUCAGUCCUUUCCCUUUUCCAUAAAUGACCUUGUCUGUGCCCUGCUUUGAGCCGGUCGGUUUUCCAUUUUGUGACACUCGUGGCUGUGCUGGAUGGCCAGGGACUCAUGCGCCCUGAUCUUUGGGUGCAGCUCUAGCACUGUAUUAAUCUCAAGUUGUCUGUGUCAGGUUGUGAUUUAUGGAACUCUCUAGAACUCUUUAUGUGUUGAUGAGGACAUGGAGAACUUGGAACUCAGACUCUGCUGGAGGAACAGAAAAUGAAGCAGCCACUUUGGAAAAAACAGUUCAGCACUUCCUGAAGAAUUUAACCCUUCCUCUCAUGUGGUCCAGCAGUCCAUUCCUAGUUAUUUACCCAAGAGAAGUAGAAGGGUAUGUUCCUGCAAAGCCUGAGUUCCAUUUUAUUUUUGAUUGACAUCUAGUAAUUGCACACCCUGACAUGGUACAAUGUGAAGUUUCCAAUCACGUAUUACAUUGCAUGAUGAUCAAAUCAGGGCAUGGAACAUAUCCAUCACCUCAAAUAUAUAUCUGUUUCUUUGUAGAGAAAUGUUCAAAGCCUCUCUUCCAGCUAUUUCAAAGUGCACAGGUCAUUACUGUGGACUGUAUUAAGCCCUGUNAUCCAUAGUAAAUGAAGUUGGCGGUUGCUGGGGGGAAAGACUUGGGUAAGCCAUAGCAAACCGAGAGGUGGAAAGUUGUGAUGAUGGACACAUUCAUUAUAUGGAUGUGGUGACGGUUUCACGGGUGUAUUUAUGGAUCAAAAUGCCAAAUCAUGUACUUUGGACAUGUACAAUUUGCCAUAGGUCAAUUAUGCCGCAAGGGAGCUGAUAAACAUUCCCGUGUGUGGCUGCCUGGGGCCAAGUGUCCAUCAAGGUCAGGGUUCUGAGGGCAGUGCCGUGCCAGGGCUGGGGUGCUGGGUUUCUGUUUUCGUGACUAAAAGGCUCAGGGGUCACUCCAGUUGAACUGGGCUGACUGGGCUGUGCAAAAUAACCACACAAGAGACACAAAUACCUUUUUCUUUGGGGUCGCUGUGACGGCUCCUCUGACCUUAAGGGUCCCCAGAAAGAGAGAGCGCGAGAGCACGCGCUGACCCCUUUUAUUGAGGAGAAGCUAUUCAAAUGAGGCAAGGGGUCAGGUUUCAGGGGGCUGAGUCUAGCUUCAUGAUGUCCACUGUCAGCAGGUUGACUGACAUCUGGGUAGGCCACACCCAAGGGCACAGUAAGAGAGGGGGACACACCCAAGGCACUUCCAUGGAAGAUUCUAUCCUAAACAGGGCAAGGGGUUAUAUUACAAAGGAACAGGUGAGCAUAGCUUCACCCAUGGGGCUGUAGCAAGACACACUGACCCUCGAACCCAAGAAGGGUGGGGGCUCUGCCACAUUUCUGUGACUGAUCGCCUCAGCACCCAGCUGGGGAGUGUGACUCAGUCACGUGCAAGGUUGGUCUCCCACACUGGGGGAUGCUGUAGAGAACGUGAGGAAUACAAAGGCCUCAGGGCCCUGCAGCUGCUUCUCACGCCACAGAAUCAUUUAGAGAAACAAUGACAAUCUCAGCUUCCCCACAUUCUCAGUGCAACUUGCCGGUUGCAAGCCUGGUUCCUGUGGUUACCACACUAAACAAUCUCUUGUCUGUUUCAGUCAUAAGGUUGGAGAAUCAGAAAAACCACACUCAGUCCUUCACCAUCAGGGCUGCCAGGUGGCAGACUCCAGGGUCAGGAAGCAUCUCCCCCGACGGCUCAUUAGACAAAGGCCAUGUUCCUGUAUCCUGAGCUCUGGACAGCCUCCAGGGGUCCAUGGCAAAAUCAGAACCCGUGGUGAUCACGACACACGCACAAACAUGCGUGUGACAGAUCAUUCUAUUGUGCACCUUGAAUUUAUUGAAUCUUUGUCCAUUAAAUAUUUUAAAAUGAAAACUACCUUAAUUCCUCAAACAACCAUGAAAAAAGUAAAAAACAAAACAAAACAAACAAACAAACAAACAAACCCAGAGGCCAAGGAUUACACAGAAAAUAGAACAUUGCUAAUUAAACAUGGCAAAAAUUUGGGAUGUACAUGCAUUCAAGGGCAAAUCAGUCAAGGCAGGACCAUGAUUGUCAACUGAACUCGUUUUAUAAAUGUGCAGGUCGGAGUCUAUGUUCAUUGCACCAAUUAGAGUGGCUGGAAGUAAACCUCGUGCUUUGCCCAUCUAAAACCUAGCUUUGCUCCUCCCUAGACAAUUAAGAUGCCAGAAAUGACUCAGGAUCAUGUAGAAGAAGCAGCUAAAAUAUUCUGGGAGGAAGGGAUGAGAUCUAGCCUGUCUUUGUAGCCAUGAUGAUUAAGAAGACUCUGCUGCCAUUAAAAUGAUCUUCUUGGUGACGGUAGGGAAGAGGGAAGUCGGGGGAGAGUCCAGCCUGUACAGGAUCAGCAGCACUUGACUCCCCGUGGGGAAGGAGAAUACUCACCACUUUAGUGAUGUAGUCUCAGUGUCAUCUUUUCCCCCAAUUCAUACAUUGGAACCUGAUACCCAUUUUUAUUGGCAGCGAUGGGGAUGCACCUAGGGCCUAGUGCAUGCUAGGCCGUUGCUCUAGCACUCAGCUACUUCUCCCUCCCUCCAGACUGAGAAGGGUGAAUGGUUCCUAACUGGACACUCAAUGCUUGCCCUUGAAGCUUCAAGUAGUCAUUUUACCUCCAAGGCCCAUUACAAGCUGGGGAAUAGCUAAUCCACUUACCCGUAAAUCGGCUCUGCUGAGGAUAACAAGACUCCAAGGCACUUUCCAGUCCCAUGGAUCCUGUAUGAGCAUCAGGAAGACACCUGAAAACCUUUUCAAUUUGGAAGGAGCCGUACAAUAGAUGGGAGUGAUGUGUGCAAUAAUACUCGGGGUGCAGCAUUUCCCACAUGUAUUUCUACUGUGUGUGGAGCUAGAAGAGAAGAAUCUCAGUGUAGGCGCAUCACAGGAUGAAAAGGGCCCAGGUCAUGGUGGUGAUGUGUUCAGGAGACACGUCCAACUCAUACCAGCCAGAAUAUGAGGGAGAAAUAAUUUUCCCUGUGCUCCUCGACUGACAGAGGAAGCUGCAGGCAGCAGCAUCUGGUACCAGUUGCCCUGAGUAACAAUAAGCAUCCUCUUGUAGUGUUUAGGGGACCGAGUGUAAGCAGGUCCUACGGCACUGCAGGCUGCAUGAGCCAGUGGUGCACACUCCUGGGAGAGGCUCCCUGCCCCACCCCCAUUUAUGGCUUUGGGGGCAUUCGUUAUAUGAACACUAAAAGGCUUUCAAAUAAGUUUUCCCUUUCUGCUUAAAUUAACCUGAGUCCAAUUUUGAAGGAAAAAGGGAGGUUUUGCAAAACACAGGCCACAACCAAGGUGACACAAAUCUACCUAGAAAACCAACUUGGUCCUUUCCUAAUUCUGAAAACAGGAAUCAUAAAGAAUUCAAUAUAUGUGUGCUGUACAUGGUGACCAAAAAAUAGAGCCAACGUGUUGGAAAGCGUUUCCAGCUAGUUUGGUCUUCUCGUUGUAGCGGGAGAGACAGGCGCCAACAUUAUCACCCAGCUCCUCGAGGUACGUGCCUGAGCAACGGCAACGGCAACUUCAAGACAAGAGCCCAGCUCCCUCGAGUCUCAUUACCGGUGGUUUUUAUUGCCUGUGGCCCCUGGGGAAGGCACGAGCUCACAGAGGGCUUCUUCUCCUCCGGCUACUGAAGGCAGAUCAUGUCCUCAGGGAUGACAUUCUGGAUGCUUCCAGGAGACACUGUUUGUAAUGGCCGGGUUCAAAUGAGAGGAAGCGAGAACAACUGCAUAAAUACGUUCUGUGGGGGCAAUUUGCCCUUCAUCAAGCCAUAAUAUUUGAACAUUAUCACUUUUAUUGGAAAUUGUGCCUGCAAGGAGAACGCACGAUGUUGGAAUUUCUGUGAUCCUGUUCCAAAACAUAACCUGUGACUCCAGGGAAAGUAAAGGCAAGAUUCAGAGGAAAUGCCCUCUAACUAGCAAGGGUGUCGAUUCAUUACCCCCUCUGCCGACUCUGGUGCACCUUGGUGUUCUGAAUCUCAAGAAGGAGAAAUGGUCCUGAUGUGCACAGAAUACAAAACAGACCGGCAAUUUAACAGAAAUUCAGGGAUAGAAAAGAGAUGGGAUGAGACCCUGCCCAGACUCUUCAUUUAACAAGUUGGGAGCUGAGCCUCCAGGAAGAUAAAUGAAUCGGCCAAAGUUGCAUCGUGGAGUAAGGCCAUGCUCAUUGCUAGGUUUCAUGUGUCAGUUUGCGUGAAAUUGGAAUUCUGUUUUGGAGCAUAAAGCAGUGUUCUUCAGACUUCAGUGUGGUUAGGGAUUAUGUGGGGGAUCUGAUUAAAACCAGAUCCUGAUGGGUAUGAUUAAGAUGUUUCUGGGAUCUGCCUUUCUAACACACCCCCAGACCGAUGCUAAUGGCUCACAGAUAUGAACUUGGGUACACAUUGGAAUCACUCCAGCAGCUUUAAAAAUACUGAUUCCUCGGUGUCCAUCUGCUCUGGUUUGGAUCUAUGGUGUCCCCUAAAAGCUCAUGUGAGACAUUCCUGCAAGAAUGUUCAGAGGUGAAAUUAUUAGGUGAUGGGAGUUACAACCUAAUCACUGGAUGAAUCCACUGGUACAGAUUAACUGGGAAGCAGCUGCAGGCAAGUAGGGUGUGGCUAGAGGAAAUAGAUUACAGGGGAAAUGCCUUUAGGGUUUCUAUUUUGUUCUGGUGAAUGUGAUGCUGUCUCUUUCUCUCUCCAGCUUCCUGGCUGUCUGUCCUUGGUCCCACCCUCCCGCCAUGAUGCUCUGCCAUUGUCUCAGGCCCAGAGCCAUGGAGUUGGCUAACUGUGAACUGAACCUCUGAAACCUGAGCCGGAAUGAACUUCCCACGCUCUCCAUUGCUCUUGUCAGGUUUUCUGUCAUCGUGAUGCAAAGCUGUCUAACUUACCGUCGAUGAAUGGAAAAAUAAUGAAACACGGUGGACCAUCCUGAAGAUGUAAAACAUGAGUGAAAUCCUGCUAUUUGUAGCAACAUAGACGAUCGUGGAGGACAUUACGUUAAGAAAGAAGCCAGGUGUAGAAAGAAAAGCAUGAGAGGCUCUCACUUCCACGUGGGAUCUAAAAGUGUUCUGGAACACUGGUUACCAGAGGCUGGGAAGGGAGACAGCGACCGGGAAUGGUUCCUGGGGACAGAGGUGCCCUGGUAGGGGUGGGGGUAACUUCUAGGAUUCUGUAGCACAAUAGGGCAGCUGGGGUCAGCACCACUUAACUGCACGUUUCAAAAUAACUGAUUUUGAAUUUUCCCAACACAAAGAAAUGAUAAGUGUUGGAGGUUAUAGUUACGUCAGUUAUUCUGAUCUGUGUUGAAAUAUCACACUGUACCCCAUAAAUAUAUGCAAUCAUUAUGGGCCAAUUAAAAAAUCAAGAUUUUUUUUUUAAAUACUGUUUUCUAGGCCCACUCCUGCUAGAGAGCCUGAUUAAUUUGCUCUGAGGUACGACCUGGACAUUGAGAUUCUUAAAUGCUCCUCAAAUGAUUUGAAUAUGUAGCCAAGUUUGAGUAUCGCUGCUGUAGAUUACUUUUACUUGUAAAGUAAUUAUUUAUGAGGAGGAUGGCAUUUAGGACGACGUUUUAGAGAAUCUGCACCAUCCUUUGGUCCCAGUGAGUUAAUGAGAGUCGGUUCAGAGAGGUGAGGCUUGGCAAAUUAACUAUCACACAGUUGGUGAGGAAGCUGACCCUCAUGGAAAGCAGUUUCCAAAGUGGAGAGAACAAACAAUCAUCUUGACGAAGGGAGUUUCCUAUAACAAACAUCAUAACCUAAUAGAGGUUAGAAGUCAGAAGACAUCAGAAAUGUUUGUUAAACAUUUACUUUAAUAUAACAGGAAAACUCUGGUUCUGUUAGUCAACAACAGAUUUAGAUCCUCCUUCAUCCUAACAAGGUAGGGAAGAAGGAGAGAUUUAGGCUGAUUUUAAUGUCAAUGGACACCAAACUGCUAAGAUAACGACAUAAAAGUUAUUAUCUCAAUGCUUUUAGUAUUUCAGAGGUGCUCACAUCUAAGUCUUUUUUUUUUGAGUUUCACUUGAACUGCUUGCCCCCAAAUUCCCAUAACUUCUAAUUUUAAAUUCAGUUUUAAUUAAGGCUGAAUUCAAGGUACCUUCGGUUCCCCACAUCUAUGGAUUCAACCAACUGUUGAUCAAAAAAAAUUGGCAUCUGGGCUGAGUACAUUGAGCUCCUUGGCCCUGUCACCCCCGCCCUCAAAUCUACAGUGUGACAACUACUCACAUAGCAUUUGCAUUGUAUUAGGAACUAUAAAUUAUCUAGAGAUGAAUUAAAGUAUAAAGAAGUGUAGGCGUAUUAUAUGCAAAUACUGUACCACUUCCUAUAAGGACAGAGAGCACCCACAGAUUUUGGUAUCUGUGGGGAGUUCCUGGGAAUCACCCCUAUGGACACUGAGAGAGGACUGCAGUUAGAAGUCACCAUAAUUUAUUUCCACCCCAUCACGAGAUCUCUGUGCCCAAAGACUAGCCCUUUGCCCCAGGUGUGUGGGAUUCCGUUCCGAGUCUGAAGGCUGUCCCUCUUCUUUACCAAGUUUCCACACCUGAGUUGGGACACCUGUUUGUCAACUGCCAGUCAAUCAACACCAACCCUGCGGGAGAGGAAACAGGAAUCCCAGUUUCUCAUUCCCACAUCCUCAUCGCUGACGUAUUUUCUGGGAUCUUUAUCAUUAGAUUACCAAGUUUUCUUCCAGAAGGCACUGAGGCCUUGAAAGUGAAUCGAUUCCAAAGUUUAAAGAGGAAAUCGCCUGAGAGAGAAAUGCAGGCUUGUCUUGGGUUAGAAAUGGAGACCUCUGCUGAUCAGCAAGAAUCUCUGGGAGGUCAUUUUUAUGUAUUCUACCUUGGCCAGAAAAAACACUGACCUUGGCAAACAAAUCAGAAUUCAGAUCCCAUGAGCUGCUUCUCUUUGGGGUCACCGUCUGUCCUUCAAGCUGGCUUUAAACAUCAGACCAAAGUGUUCACUCAUCAGAACAGGCGAGCCCGGCUAUGGUUUAUUACAUGUGAAAGUUGCUGCCUAAGACGGUUUAAGCCUUCUUCCCCGGAGCAUGCGGUGUAUUAGUCACUGGAGUCCAUAGAAACAAUGCAGAGGGUCUGAUUCCCCUGAAAACUCGAGCUCUCUGGGGCAUGCUCUAGAAAGAUGUGGCAGGAGUGAAGCACAGCUAAGAUGUGCCAGGUGUCAUGUGCAGAAUAAUGGACCCCCAAAUCCACAUGCUGAUCCCCAGAAGCUGUGAAUGGGUUAGGGUAUGUGGCAAAAGUUGCAGAUGGAAUUAAGGUUGCUAUUCCGCUGACCUUGAGGGCAGAUAUUAUCCUGGAUUAUCUGGGUGGGCCCCACAUAAUCAUGAGGGGCCAUAGAGGUGAAAAAGGAAGCAGAGUGACAGAAACAAAGAGGUGAAGAUAUGCAAAGGACUUGGCCUGAUGGUGCUUGCUUUGAAGAUGGAAGAACGAUCCUGUCUUAGUUGGUUUUCUGUUGCUAUAACUGUAUGCUGCAGACAAGGUAAUUUAUAAAGACUCGAGGUUUGCCGCAGUCUGGCUGGGCACAAAAUCACGAGCCACUCAAGCAGGAACAAAGUUUAUUUUUUGAAACUGCCGCCAAUGUCCGGUACCGCCCGGGAAGAUUUUUUCCACCCACGCGGCCUCCUCCCGGACCCGCAGAGAGAGCUCCUCCCCCGGAACUCCCUCCUACUGUACUUCCCCAACCAAUGGGAACUCUCCAGGAGUCCCGUAGCCGGCCUAGGUGAACAGCAGGAGUCCAAUAUCCAUAUGAAUGCAAAUCUUAACAUAAUCAUAUCAUCUCAAUGGCUAGCUGGCGUCACCUUUCGACCAAAAAUGCCAUGCAUCAUAUACUUGGCUCUUAGCAUCUCCCCCCUUAUGUUUAAGUAACAAGCAAUCUGACUAGGGACCGUGCCUGUUAGGUUUGUCCAAUUCAACAUAUGGUUCUUACCCGUCAUCGGAAAACUGACUUUUAGGCGUUAGCCUCCUGUCUUAGGUUGAUACCACUGCAAUUGGAUCAUACCCGUCACUGACUACCGGUCCAGCAUAUAGCCAUACUUGUGGAUAGGCCUAUGUACCAGUGGGGGGGUGAGGUUCUUUGCCUCACAUCUGUUGGCCCCCAAAUUUGGCCUUGGUGCCGGUGGGGGGGUGAGGUUCUUUACUUCACCUCUGUUGGCCCCCAAAAUUAGACCAUCACUAGUAGAAGGGAGGAGGAUACAGAAAUGUCAUGACACCAAGUCAAUUAACGGCUCCUAGGAAAAAUUGCAUCACUGGUGACACAUCAGCAAAGAUACGCUAGCACUAUCAUAAUUCACUGCAUCAACAAAUAGAUCACAAAGCAUACAAGUGAUACAUAGUCCAGGCAAGUUCUGUAAGCAGUUCAAAGCAGAGGAAUCUAUCAAUAUGUCCAUAUCCUCCCAAAAUAAAGCAUACAAGUGAUACAUAGUCCAGGCAAGUUUUGUAAGCAGUUCAAAGCAGAGGAAUCUAUCAAUAUGUCCAUAUCCUUCCAAAAUAAAUCGACUCAUUGAUUGAGCAUUACUUGGUGAGUUAUAAACCAUUGAUGUAUCAGUUUACACGGUUUGUUGUGAUAACUCUCGAAGAAGUUGUAGUUUGGUUUUAUCUUUGUCUUCACCGGCACUGGGAUGAAAAUAGGAAUUUUGACAAUGAUGCUAAAAAAAAUAUGUAACAUUUCAACAGGUAACAAGAAAACAAUAUUUAGAACAAUUUACAUUAUCCUGAACAGAAUAAUAAAAUAUAAUGAAAAGGAAAGGUGAAAGUAAACAAACAUAUCUGUUAACCUUCUAUUUGUUC
rnacentral:lncRNA from 1 species